rnacentral:rRNA from 1 species
GACGAACGCUGGCGGCGUGCUUAACACAUGCAAGUCGAACGGAAAGGCCCUGCUUUUGUGGGGUGCUCGAGUGGCGAACGGGUGAGUAACACGUGAGUAACCUGCCCUUGACUUUGGGAUAACUUCAGGAAACUGGGGCUAAUACCGGAUAGGAGCUCCUGCUGCAUGGUGGGGGUUGGAAAGUUUCGGCGGUUGGGGAUGGACUCGCGGCUUAUCAGCUUGUUGGUGGGGUAGUGGCUUACCAAGGCUUUGACGGGUAGCCGGCCUGAGAGGGUGACCGGCCACAUGGGGACUGAGAUACGGCCCAGACUCCUACGGGAGGCAGCGGUGGGGAAUAUUGCACAAUGGGCGGAAGCCUGAGGCAGCAACGCCGCGUGCGGGAUGACGGCCUUCGGGUGGUAAACCGCUUUCGCCUGUGACGAAGCGUGAGUGACGGUAAUGGGUAAAGAAGCACCGGCUAACUACGU